rnacentral:rRNA from 1 species
GACGAACGCUGGCGGCGUGCUUAACACAUGCAAGUCGAACGGAAAGGCCCUGCUUUUGUGGGGUGCUCGAGUGGCGAACGGGUGAGUAACACGUGAGUAACCUGCCCUUGACUUUGGGAUAACUUCAGGAAACUGGGGCUAAUACCGGAUAGGAGCUCCUGCUGCAUGGUGGGGGUUGGAAAGUUUCGGCGGUUGGGGAUGGACUCGCGGCUUAUCGGCUUGUUGGUGGGGUAGUGGCUUACCAAGGCUUUGACGGGUAGCCGGCCUGAGAGGGUGACCGGCCACAUUGGGACUGAGAUACGGCCCAGACUCCUACGGGAGGCAGCAGUGGGGAAUAUUGCAGAAUGGGCGGAAGCCUGAUGCGGCAACGCCGCGUGCGGGAUGACGGCCUUCGGGUUGUAAACCGCUUUCGCCUGUGACGAAGCGGGAGUGACGGUAAUGGGUAAAGAAGCACCGGCUAACUACGUG